GUGGCAGCCGCCGCGGUAAUACAGAGGGUGCAAGCGUUAAUCGGAUUUACUGGGCGUAAAGCGCGCGUAGGCGGCUAAUUAAGUCAAAUGUGAAAUCCCCGAGCUUAACUUGGGAAUUGCAUUCGAUACUGGUUAGCUAGAGUAUGGGAGAGGAUGGUAGAAUUCCAGGUGUAGCGGUGAAAUGCGCAGAGAUCUGGAGGAAUACCGAUGGCGAAGGCAGCCAUCUGGCCUAACACUGACGCUGAGGUGCGAAAGCAUGGGGAGCAAACAGGAUUAGAAGCCCCCGUAGUCC
rnacentral:rRNA from 1 species